AAAAUAUUUUCUUUUAUUUAUAAGGCAUAGUAUUGUAAUCAUAAAACUGUACAGUUUUUGUAUUUUCUUAUAAAAGUAGUCUUUUAUAAAGUGUGGUUACAAUAGAGAUCUUGUACAGGCUACGUAGUAUAGCUCUAAAAAUGUCUGCAGCAACGACUUUGUCCAAUUAAUGUUUAAAUUGAACGAAUUAAAAGAUAAUUGAUUAUUAGUUUUCCUUCUAAAUGUAAAUGUUAGUUCUCCUUUUUUAAUAAUGAGAACGUUUAUUCUUUCCUUGUUUUGAUUAAGACUUGCUAAUACAUAAUACUAGUUGUUAUAAACUUGUUAAUAAUAGUGUGACACUGGGAUGAAUUUAAAACUGUAUUUUUAAAGCUACACGUAGAGCUUUUCAUAUAUGGUACAGUAUGUCCCGGAUGUAGGCAUCCAAACUUCAUGAGGUUGUAAAUAUAGCCUCGAAAAGUGUGUAAUAUUACUAACAAGAAUUCACCUUUGAACACGGCCUAUCUCACGCCGUUUUCCGCAUAUCUGCCUGUAUGUGAUUUUUGCAAAAAGCUUAAGUUACUCUCAGAAGUUACUUAAGAUGAAGCCAUGAAACUUGGUAUGAAUAUUGAUGGAUCUUGAUAGUUUACAUAUUUCGGAAAAGAUUAAUUUUUGUAUAAAAUCCUUUUUUUUAAGACAAUCAUUUAAAAUUUUUGAAGCUGAAUAUCUAACAAAAAUUAUUAAAAAAAUGUAAAAGACAAAAAUUUAAGGAAUUUAAUAUCUAAAAAUUAUGACAUGAAGAGUUUUUAGAUUAUACAACUAUUAACUGAGAACUUGAAAUUUUUAUCAAAUAAAAAUUUGAUUGUUAUUAAUAAGAAAUUAAACAUUUAAACUAAAAAAAAAAAUUGAAAUCCUUCUUUAAAACGCCCUUAUAAUAGGAUAAAUAAUUGAUAAAUCACAUUUAUUAGAUGUGUAGGUUUAAUGUUGUACAGUACAAUCACGAAUUAUAAGCUGAUUGUAAUAUUGACAGUUUAUUGUUGGGAAACAAACGUUUUUAUUUUUUACUGGUUAGAGGUCAUCACUAAACAAAAACAGAGAGGUUCAGAUGUUUUCUAGGCAAAGUUUUGCUGUUUAAGUUGCUAUUAUUGUAUAUCUUAUUUAAUUUCUUAAUACACCAUAAUACCUAUUUAUACAAAUGAAGAGUUAUCAGAAGUUCAUUUUAUUUAUGGAUUGGCUGAUCGAAACUCGCGAGAGGCAUUGCGACGACUCUAUGCAUAAAGAUGAUUUAACAGAAGAAACCGUAUAUAGAAACAUUCGCAAGUGUUCAUAAGUCUCUGAGGGAGCGUGGAACUUUUACUCAAGUUGAGAAGUUGGCCCGUGCAAUUUCAGAGACUACAUUAAGAGCUCGACAAAUUAUAUUAAAUGCCGUUGAAGAAGUCCCAAGUAAAAGAGUCAGAAGAUUAUCACAGGAUGAAGGAAUAUUAUGACAUUCCUUUUGUUUGGCGUAUUGUUAAACUUCAACUGUUAUAUUCAUAUCAUAUUCAAAGAGUCCAAAGUUAUCUUAAAACAGACUUCCAGCCUAGAACGAAUCUGUGAGAAUGGUUUUUGAGAAAAUAUGUUUUGAUUCUACUAUAUCUGGCAAAUGUUUAUUGAUGAUGCAAGAUUUUUGAGAGAAGAUAUUUUUGUUUAUUACAAUAAUCUUUUUUGUGGACUAAACUGAGUGCCAUAUUUGGACUUACAAAACAUGUUACCUGAACUAUUAAAAGACAUGCCUCCAUACAAAAGAUUCAGUGUGAUUUAUUCCGGAUGGCGGUCCUGCCAGGUCUCUUGAUCUAAACGCACUUGAGUUUUUUGUUUGGGAUUACCUACACCUUUGAUAUACAAAACACCUGUGGAAAAUAUUUAAAUGUUUAGGUGAAGAAUAGUGAAUGGCUGUAAUACGAUUAUACAGAAAUCGGGUAUUUGCACGAAUAAGAAAUUCUAUGAGAAAUUAACUUGAACACUGUAUGGACAUGAAUGUCAGACACAUUGAGCACAUGUUGUAGGAUCGCCAAUAUUUUUUAAUCUAACUAAAUAUUACAGCCAUUAGUUACACAAGAAAGAGCACUUGGCCACUCUUAUCACACAUAAACUGUUCCUACUGAACCUUUUUUUUAAAUAGAUUUUAUUUUUUCAAAUUUUAAACUGUUUAUGAAUAACAAAGAAGUUUAUAUUUGAAAAAAAAUUCUUAGUUAGUAGUUGUCCUAUCUUAAAAAUCUUUAUGCCAUAAUUAGGAUUAAAUUCUUCAACAUUGUUGUCUCUUUUAAUAAAAUUUAAGGUUUUUUAAAUUUUAGCUAUAAACAUUUUAAAUGACCGCUAUUUUAAAAAGAAAUUUUCUAAAAAAAUGAAACCUUUAAGAAAUGUGCAAAAUAUCAAGACCAACAUUCAUACCAAGUAUUUGAUUUUAUCUUAAGUAACUUCUGAGAUAUUACACUUUUUGUAAAAAUCACACACAGACAGAUGGACGGAAAACGGAGCGAGAUAGACCACCCAUGUGUUCACAUCUGAUAUUUUUGUUUGUUUUGACCUUUGGAAUAACCUCCUGAAGUUUGGUUACAUACCCUGUAUUCAUGAGAAGUGGUGGUGUUUGAGUCUCUACACAUUAGCCAUCCAUCUAUUCCAUAAGUUAUGUAAUAUAACUUUGGUAACUGGACUAAUAUAUUACUACCCGAGCAGGGAUCUAUCAGCUAUUGCAGAGGUUGAAAUAUUAAAACGGUCCUUCAAUGUUAAUAUAGCAAUAACAUAUUAGGAUCGAUUUGGAAUAUUACUGAGACAUACUUUGAGUUGAUGCUCGCAUUACAAGACACGUAUCAUUGAUGAUAUCAGAAUUUGCUAGAGACAAUUCAUACCGCGGAUUGCAGGCUCAUGAAUGCCUAAGUUCGAAGAUAACUCGUUGGUUUUAUCCACGGAAUUGAAAAUGGGUUUUUGUCAAGAUCCUUUCUUAUAUUGUUUUUAUGAAGCUUCAUUUUUGACCGUUGCCACUACGGUUGAGUAAAAGACCAAGUCCUUUCCGUAUAAACAUUGUAUUGAAUUUAGGGUCGUUGUGAAAACGGCACAUCUUUUGAGAUGUUCAACUACAUUGGCAGAAAGGAACGUUGUUGUUACGAUAUCUGUUGGACAAUCGACUUUUUCAUUUAAUUAAGUGGGUUAUAACAACGACCUUCGAAGAAAAGCUUAAAUACAGAGCUGGAAUUGUUGUCACAACGAUUCAUAGAGUAAACCUGUAUUAUUAGUUAUUUUCUCAAAAACUAUCGUUGAGCCAACGAUUAGUAAUGCAAAAGAUAUGGCACACAGUGCCGUCCUUAGGGUGGAACGAGUGGAGCGGCGGCCACGCAGUGAGGCUUUGCUCUAGUCAAAAAUGAAUAAAAUUUUCUAAAUAAGUAAAAGUGUUGGUUGUAUUAAAAUAAUAUAUUAGUAAUAUACAUGCCUAAAAUAUCUAUCUGAUUAGUGUCAACUUCACAAAGGCUAUCGUGAUUGCCUUUACAAGAGAGCGUCAGUUGGAGGGUGUUGGUCCUUUCUUAUUGAGAGGCUUUUCCAUUGAGUUACAGUCCCAGGUUAAGUACUUGGGCGUAAUCCUUGAUAGGGUCCUUAACUGGGGACCCCAUUUGGAAAGAGUUAUUGCCAGAGGGAAAUGAUCUUUAAUGCAAUGCUGACAUGUGCUAGGUGGGUCUUGGAGACAAGCAGAGGCUUUUGUAUUGGCGGCUUUAUGUCUCCGUGAUUAGACUUGCACUAAUGUUUGGGGCUGUUGUCUGGUGGUCAAAGACGGAGGCCAAGAUGAUGGUGACUGGUAUGGCCAGCAUCCAAAGUAUGGCUUGCCUUGCUAUCACUGGGGCUUUCCCAAGUCUGGGGUGCAGCUCUAGACUGUUGCCUAAACCUUGCCCGCCUGGAAAUUCUAAUUCGAGCUAUGGCCAUGAGAAGUGGCUUUUGUCUUCCGCAGGCGGGGCUUUGGUCGGCCUCGGGCUGCAGCAGUGGGCACUGCUGAAUUAGCAUCUCUGCAUGUAAUCUUUGAUCAGAUGCCACAAAGAGUUUCUUUCAACAAACCCUUCAGGAUUGUUAUACCUUCUAGGGAAGCUUGGUCGGAGGGAAGGAAACCCCUUCCACCAGCGGAGCUUGAUUGGUUUACAGACGGCUCUAAAAUGGAAAGUGGCACAGGCACCAGAAUUAUGGUGGUGAGACCAUGUAAGGAGCUGGUGGUCCCUGUAGGUCCUUACCCCACAGCUUUUCAGGCAGAAGUCACAGCCAUUAUGGAGUGUGCUCGUGAGAAUAUUCGUUGGUGGUAAAUGAGUAAGACGAUUUGCAUUUUCACAUAUAGCCAGGCAACAUUGAAGACCCUGGACUAUUUCGUGUUCAACUCCAAACUUGUCUGGGAUUGCUAUCAAGUCGGUUCUUCCCAUGUCAGGAUCAAUAAUAUGACUGUUGGGCUUCUGGUGAUGAGGGGAUCUCUGGGAACGAAAGAGCUGAUGCACUGGCCAAUUUGGACUUGGUGUCCAUUAUGAUGGGACCUCAACCGUUCUGUGGCAUUUCUAGGUGUGAAUCCUUUGGGGCUGUCUCAAAUAGGGGGUGAACCCAUAAGAGAAGGUGGAGGUUGCAUCCGGUUCUGAGAAUGAGCAAAAUGGUUCUAAAGACACCUUCCCCUAAGAUGACCUCUCAAUAAGUAGAUUGGUGUUUUCUUGGGUUAGGGGUCUCUUGGGACAUGGUCACCCGAGGAAGCAUCUUCACAGAUUUGGUAUCCUUCGGGAGGAUCCACUCUAUAGAAUGUGUGAUGAGCAGGAGGAAAACCUACUUUGACUAUCCUGCAUAGCAAGGGAGCGGUACGCCAUCUUUGGUAGUCUAGACAAAGGUAGCGAAUUUAUCUAGGUCCUAAUCGGUUGUUUUUUGGCAGUUUGUAGAACUGCUGAAACCGUAAACUCAUCAGCCUCAUGGUGUACUCCUAGGGUGUGCAAAAGGCGCUUAUGGCUUAGGUGCAUGGUAAUAGGCCACCCCAUAGAAGAAGAAGCUCUAGUAAACCAGCUUAAGGAAAUCAAUAUUGAAGUACAAAUAUUAAUGUUACUUCACAACAUUAACAUCAACGUCAACAUAAAGUUGACUCUUAAGAGCAAAGAGCAUAUUUGGAAAAAGUUAUGAUUUUUUUAUCUUCUCUGUACGGAUGCUGUUAGAUUCUCCAUAUUUCCAUGUGAUUAAUUCCAGAGUGACCUGCUUUUUCUUCUGGAAUAAUUUCUUGUGGGUUUUCGUAAAAUUCUGGAUUAGAGUUCCUAAAAACUCCUUAUUUAAAAAUUGCAUUAUGUUGUGUUUGUUGGUUAUUAAUUAAAAAUCAUACUAUGUAGUCUAUUGAAUGAAACUACUGUGUAUCUUAUUAGUUUUAUGUUCGAAUUCUACAAAAUAAAUUAUUCAUGACUGUAUUUUUUUUAGAUUUCAUUCCCAAUACUUCACGAGGCGUAAAAAAAAUACCAAUUACAAACAUUAUAACGUUUUGCAGUAAAAAUAGGAUAUGAACACAACAACAAAACAUCAAUAUAAAAAUACAUAAUAAAUUUAAAAAAUUCAGAUCUACAUGCAAUCAGUCCAUACCUAUAUAUGAAAUACCAAAUAAUAUGGGCAUCUUUUUAUAUCCAUACUGGUAAAACCUCUGGAUAGUUUACAUGUAUACAUAAUAUUUGACUAAUUUUUAAAGAGAAUUUUUUGACAAAUGAGUUUUAAAUCUCUAUAUACGAUUUAUAACGCAAUAAGCAUUUAAUUAAAUAAAUUCUUGCACAGAGAAAGAAAUAAUUGCAUAAAUCUUAUUUACUAAGAUAAUGCAAUGGAAUGAUAUUUUUUCAAAUAGUGUCUUUAAACUGAGAAGCUGACAUGAUACGAUCACAGUAGGUAGAAGACAAAGAGUUGAGAGAGAAAGUUACUCCUUGACAUGAAUAUACAAGACAAUUACUGCAAUAGAAAAAGUGCUAUAAGUCCUUGCAUACAAAAUAUAUACAUGUAUCUUGUAUAAAUGUAUAUCCUAUAUAUGAAGGGGUAAAGAAUAAAGAGAAAUAACAAGUAACUAAAGAAAUUUUAUUAAUUUAAUUUGGCACCCAAAAUGAUCAAAUACCAUUAUAAUAAAAAAUACAAACUUUAAACAAAUAACAUUAUUUAUAAGCAUACAAUAAAUUUU